AACACAUGCAAGUCGAGCGCGAAAGGGACUUCGGUCCUGAGUAAAGUGGCGCACGGGUGAGUAACGCGUAGAUAACCUGUCUUCAUGUCUGGAAUAAUACGCCGAAAGGGGUACUAAUACCGGAUAUCUUGCUUUUCAUAAGUUAUGCAAGCAAAGGUGGCCUCUGCAUAUGCUACUGCAUGAAGAGGGGUCUGCGUACCAUUAGCUAGUAGGUGGGGUAAUGGCCUACCUAGGCGACGAUGGUUAGCGGGUCUGAGAGGAUGAUCCGCCACACUGGCACUGGAACACGGGCCAGACUCCUACGGGAGGCAGCAGUGAGGAAUAUUGCGCAAUGGGGGAAACCCUGACGCAGCGACGCCGCGUGAGUGAGGAAAGGCCUUCGGGUCGUAAAGCUCUGUCAAGAGGAAAGAAGUGUACAAUGGCUAAUACCUGUUGUAUUUGACGGUACCUCUAAAGGAAGCACCGGCUAACUCCGUGCCAGCAGCAGC
rnacentral:rRNA from 1 species